AGACGUCUACAUUAGAUACCCGCGUAGUCCAGGGUGUAAACGCUGCAGACUUGGUGUUGGAAGCCCUUUGGGGGCAUUCAGUGCCGGAGAGAGUUGUUAAGUCUGCUACGUUGGGGAGUACGUCCGCAAGGAUGAAACUUAAAGGAAUUGGCGGGGGAGCACCGCAACGGGAGGAGCGUGCGGUUUAAUUGGAUUCAACACCGUAAACUCACCAGGGAAGACUGUUACAUGAAGGCCGAGAUGAAGACUCUGCUAGAUUUUCAG
rnacentral:rRNA from 1 species